rnacentral:rRNA from 1 species
GACGAACGCUGGCGGCGUGCUUAACACAUGCAAGUCGAACGGAAAGGCCCUGCUUGUGCGGGGUGCUCGAGUGGCGCACGGGUGAGUAACACAUGAGUAACCUGCCCUGGACGUUGUGAUAACUGCAGGAGACUGCGGCUAAUACCGACUAGGUGCUCGUGCAACAGGGUGGGCUUUGGACAUUUUGGGCGGUUGGGGGUGGAGUCGCGGCUUAUCAGCUUGUUGGGUGGGUAGUGGCUUACCAAGGCUUUGACGGGUAGCCGGCCUGGGAGGGUGGCCGGCCACAUUGGGCCUGAGAUACGGCCCAGACUCCUACGUUAGGCAGCAGUGGGGAAUAUUGCACAAUGGGCGGAAGCCUGUUGCAGAAACGUCGCGUGCGGGAUGCCGGCCUUCGGGUUGUAAACCGCUUUCGCCUGUUACGUAGCGUGAGUGACGGUAAUGGGUAAAGAAGCACCGGCUAACUACGUG